GAUGAACGCUGGCGGCGUGCCUAAUACAUGCAAGUCGAGCGAACGGACGAGAAGCUUGCUUUUCUGAUGUUAGCGGCGGACGGGUGAGUAACACGUGGAUAACCUACCUAUAAGACUGGGAUAACUUCGGGAAACCGGAGCUAAUACCGGAUAAUAUUUUGAACCGCAUGGUUCAAAAGUGAGAGACGGUGUUGCGGUCACUUAUAGAUGGUUCCGCGCUGCAUUAGCUAGUUGGUAAGGUAACGGCUUACCAAGGCAACGAUGCAUAGCCGACCUGAGAGGGUGAUCGGCCACACUGGAACGGAGACACGGUCCAGACGCCUACGGGAGGGAGCAGUAGGGAAUCGUACGCAAUGGGGGAAAGCAUGACGGAGCAACGCCGCGUGAGUGAUGAAGGUCUUCGGAUCGUAAAACUCUGUUAUUAGGGAAGAACAGAUGUGUAAGUAACUGUGCACAUCUUGACGGUACCUAAUCAGAAAGCAACGGCUAACUACGUG
rnacentral:rRNA from 1 species